AUACUCUGUUUUCUCUUCAGAACGCAUACAUCUUUCGCCUUUUACUAAAGAUUUCCGUGGAGAGAAACAAUUUAAAAAAAAAAAAAAAAGAAACUCCUGAUGUCAAUGAAACUUUUCUUCAGUU
rnacentral:snRNA from 1 species